AGGGAACGCUGGCGGUAGGCUUAACACAUGCAAGUCGAACGGCAGCACAGUAAGAUCUUGCUCUUACGGGUGGCGAGUGGCGGACGGGUGAGGUAUACAUCGGAAUCUACUUUUUCGUGGGGGAUAACGUAGGGAAACUUACGCUAAUACCGCAUCCGACCUACGGGUGAAAGCAGGGGAUCUUCGGACCUUGCGCGAUUGAAUGAGCCGAUGUCGGAUUAGCUAGUUGGCGGGGUAAAGGCCCACCAAGGCGACGAUCCGUAGCUGGUCUGAGAGGAUGAUCAGCCACACUGGAACUGAGACACGGUCCAGACUCCUACGGGAGGCAGCAGUGGGGAAUAUUGGACAAUGGGCGCAAGCCUGAUCCAGCCAUACCGCGUGGGUGAAGAAGGCCUUCGGGUUGUAAAGCCCUUUUGUUGGGAAAGAAAAGCAGCAGGUUAAUACGCCGCUGUUCUGACGGUACCCAAAGAAUAAGCACCGGCUAACUUCGUG
rnacentral:rRNA from 1 species